UUUCCGUAGGUGAACCUGCGGAAGGAUCAUUAAUUGAAUGAACAUGUUUCUCUGCAUGACAUUUCAAACCCCACCUGUGUAUCUUUCCUGUUGCUUCCGUGCUGCACAUGCUGCAAAGGUGUGCCUCUCCUGGUCUGGAGUUACCGCCGAGUACUUUGGACCCUGGGGUGGAGUCGGCACGGAAGGUCUACCGCAAACUCGUGUCGUGCAAUGCCUUCUGUCUGAACUGUAGCACAAUAAAAGUUAAAACUUUCAACAACGGAUCUCUUGGUUCUC
rnacentral:misc_RNA from 1 species